rnacentral:rRNA from 1 species
AUACGUAGGGGGCGAGCGUUGUCCGGAAUUACUGGGCGUAAAGCGCGUGUAGGCGGUCCUGCAAGUGGUGCGUGAAAGCGCCCGGCUCAACCGGGCGAGGACGUGGGCGAACUGCAGGGCUAGAGGCAGGUAGAGGCGUGUGGAAUUCCGGGUGUAGUGGUGAAAUGCGUAGAGAUCCGGAGGAACACCAGUGGCGAAGGCGACACGCUGGGCCUGGCCUGACGCUGAGAGGCGAAAGCAUGGGGAGCGAACGGGAUUAGAAACCCCGGUAGUCCAUGCCGUAAACGAUGCUGACUAGGUGUGGCGGGUAUGAACUCCUGCCGUGCCGGAGCCAACGUGGUAAGUCAGCCACCUGGGGACUACGGCCGCAAGGUUAAA